rnacentral:snoRNA from 1 species
UCCAGUGGUAGUCAACUGUCCAGAGCAGUACUGUGCCUGUGAUAGCGUUACACUGCUGGGAGAUAAAAGAUCAGUCAUUUCUUCUGGCUGCUGUUGUCACCGAUCUGGAGACAGCUGGUACCAAAAAGAAGUGGCAUUGUGCUUCCCUGAGAGUGCACUAAAGGUUUGCUUUCCCUCUUUAGUGCUAGUCUGGAAGCAUACAAU